AUGCAAGAAUUUAUUUUUGGUCUCUCUAUUCCAUUGGUCUAUAUGUCUAUUUCUUUGUUAAUACCAUACUGUUUUGGUUACUGUAGCUUUGUAGUAAGUUUUGAAAUCAGGAAUUAUAAGACUCCUAACUUUGUUCUUUUUUUGAUUGUUUUAGCUCUCCAGGAUCUCUUGAGAUGUGAAAUAAAUUUUAGAAUGAUUCUUCCAUUUCUGCAGAAAUGUUGGAUUUUGGCUUGUGCAGUAGAAGCCGCUUCAUGCUCUCUCUUGUGUCCUCUGAAAUGAUCAUCAUUCUUCAAGUGCUACCAUACUUUCUGAAAUGAUUUCAACAAAAGUGAAUGAACUACCGUUAAAUGCAACAACGUGGGUGGACAUCAAAACAUGAUACUGAAGACAGACACAGAAGAUACACACCUUUUGAUUGCAUUUACCUGAACUUUGAAAACAGUAAAAACAAAAUUAUUGGGUUCUAAGUCAAAAUAGUAGUUAGACCUGGUGGGGAAGGCAGGGAGUAGGAGUUGGGAGAGGCCAUAACGGGAAGAGGGGAGGAACUCCGGAGUCCUGGCAUCUUAUAUUUUUUUCAAUGGUGGUUACCCCAGUGAUCGCUUUGUGACAACUAAUCUGUGCAUUUACAUGUCAUGCACUUUUCUGUAUGUGAGAAUACUUUGAAAUAAAAAAUGCUUUCAAAAUAUCCA
rnacentral:lncRNA from 13 species